rnacentral:rRNA from 1 species
UACGGAGGAUGCGAGCGUUAUCCGGAUUUAUUGGGUUUAAAGGGUGCGUAGGCGGGUUAAUAAGUCAGUGGUGAAAGUUUGCAGCUUAACUGUAAAAUUGCCAUUGAUACUGUUAGUCUUGAGUAUGAUUGAGGUAGGCGGAAUGUGUGGUGUAGCGGUGAAAUGCUUAGAUAUCACACAGAACACCGAUUGCGAAGGCAGCUUACUGAGUCACAACUGACGCUGAGGCACGAAAGUGUGGGGAUCAAACAGGAUUAGAUACC